CUAGGAUUCCCGAAGUAACGGCGAGUGAACUGGGAAAAGCCCAGCGCUGAAUCUUUCGAUGUUACAUCGUAAAGAAAUGUAGCGUAUAGGUAUGAUUGUCGGCUURUUUCGUAUAUCCAAAGUUYCUUUGAUAGGGGCCAUAUUCCAGAGAGGGUGCGAGACCUGUGCGGAUAACGAAGCAUGUCGUAUGAUUAUACUUUGGAGUCGGGUUGCUUGAAAGUGCAGCCUUAAGUGGGUGAUAAACUUCAUCUAAGGCUAAAUACGGACGCGAAUUCGAUAGUAAACAAGUACUGUGAAGGAAAGUUGCAAAGAACUUUGAAGAGAGAGUUCAAGAGAACGUGAAAUCGUUGAAGUGGAACCGGAGAGAGUUGACGUAGUCUGGUGGAUAAGUAUUACAGAAAUCGCUGUAGCACAUAUAUUUUCUAUAUGUAUGUGUAUAUUUAGUGAUAAAGUAAUAUGUAUGUCAUCAAAGACUGCGCUGACAGCAUCGACUGCACAUUCUGAACCGUAUUGACAUGUUGCCCAAUCUAAUUUAUAGAGUGGUGUCUUAUGUUAUGUGGUGAAGUUUGUUGUUAUAUAUAUGUUGAUGUUGAUAUAAAUAAUUAUACACUAUAUGUCAGUAUAAUUAUGUCAGUGUAAAAGUCAACCACCUCUCCGAYCCGUCUUGAAACACGGACCGAGGAGUGUAACUUGUACGCGAGUCAAUGGGUGAAAAACCUUAAGGCGAAAUGAAAGUGAAGGCACGGUAUACCGGCUGACAUGGGAAACAUCCGUAUAUACAGUAAUCGUAGCGACGUGAUGUCACACCAUGGCCCUGUCUUGUCUGCGUGCAGAUGGGCAGCGGUAGAGCGUACAGAUUGCGACCCGAAAGAUGGUGAACUAUGCCUGAGCAGGACGAAGUCAGAGGAAACUCUGGUGGAAGUCCGUAUCGGUUCUGACGUGCAAAUCGAUCGAUAGACUUGGGUAUAGGGGCGAAAGACUAAUCGAACCAUC
rnacentral:rRNA from 1 species